UCUUAGUUCUGAAAGCCCCAAGAC
rnacentral:piRNA from 1 species